rnacentral:rRNA from 1 species
GCGUGCGAUACAGGGUGACAGCCCCGUACACAAAAAUGCACAUAUUGUGAGCUCGAUGAGUAGGGCGGGACACGUGGUAUCCUGUCUGAAUAUGGGGGGACCAUCCUCCAAGGCUAAAUACUCCUGACUGACCGAUAGUGAACCAGUACCGUGAGGGAAAGGCGAAAAGAACCCCGGCGAGGGGAGUGAAAAAGAACCUGAAACCGUGUACGUACAAGCAGUGGGAGCACGCUUAGGCGUGUGACUGCGUACCUUUUGUAUAAUGGGUCAGCGACUUAUAUUCUGUAGCAAGGUUAACCGAAUAGGGGAGCCGAAGGGAAACCGAGUCUUAACUGGGCGUUAAGUUGCAGGGUAUAGACCCGAAACCCGGUGAUCUAGCCAUGGGCAGGUUGAAGGUUGGGUAACACUAACUGGAGGACCGAACCGACUAAUGUUGAAAAAUUAGCGGAUGACUUGUGGCUGGGGGUGAAAGGCCAAUCAAACCGGGAGAUAGCUGGUUCUCCCCGAAAGCUAUUUAGGUAGCGCCUCGUGAAUUCAUCUCCGGGGGUAGAGCACUGUUUCGGCAAGGGGGUCAUCCCGACUUACCAACCCGAUGCAAACUGCGAAUACCGGAGAAUGUUAUCACGGGAGACACACGGCGGGUGCUAACGUCCGUCGUGAAGAGGGAAACAACCCAGACCGCCAGCUAAGGUCCCAAAGUCAUGGUUAAGUGGGAAACGAUGUGGGAAGGCCCAGACAGCCAGGAUGUUGGCUUAGAAGCAGCCAUCAUUUAAAGAAAGCGUAAUAGCUCACUGGUCGAGUCGGCCUGCGCGGAAGAUGUAACGGGGCUAAACCAUGCACCGAAGCUGCGGCAGCGACACUAUGUGUUGUUGGGUAGGGGAGCGUUCUGUAAGCCUGUGAAGGUGUACUGUGAGGUAUGCUGGAGGUAUCAGAAGUGCGAAUGCUGACAUAAGUAACGAUAAAGCGGGUGAAAAGCCCGCUCGCCGGAAGACCAAGGGUUCCUGUCCAACGUUAAUCGGGGCAGGGUGAGUCGACCCCUAAGGCGAGGCCGAAAGGCGUAGUCGAUGGGAAACAGGUUAAUAUUCCUGUACUUGGUGUUACUGCGAAGGGGGGACGGAGAAGGCUAUGUUGGCCGGGCGACGGUUGUCCCGGUUUAAGCGUGUAGGCUGGUUUUCCAGGCAAAUCCGGAAAACUAAGGCUGAGGCGUGAUGACGAGGCACUACGGUGCUGAAGCAACAAAUGCCCUGCUUCCAGGAAAAGCCUCUAAGCAUCAGGUAACAUCAAAUCGUACCCCAAACCGACACAGGUGGUCAGGUAGAGAAUACCAAGGCGCUUGAGAGAACUCGGGUGAAGGAACUAGGCAAAAUGGUGCCGUAACUUCGGGAGAAGGCACGCUGAUAUGUAGGUGAAGUCCCUCGCGGAUGGAGCUGAAAUCAGUCGAAGAUACCAGCUGGCUGCAACUGUUUAUUAAAAACACAGCACUGUGCAAACACGAAAGUGGACGUAUACGGUGUGACGCCUGCCCGGUGCCGGAAGGUUAAUUGAUGGGGUCAGCGCAAGCGAAGCUCUUGAUCGAAGCCCCGGUAAACGGCGGCCGUAACUAUAACGGUCCUAAGGUAGCGAAAUUCCUUGUCGGGUAAGUUCCGACCUGCACGAAUGGCGUAAUGAUGGCCAGGCUGUCUCCACCCGAGACUCAGUGAAAUUGAACUCGCUGUGAAGAUGCAGUGUACCCGCGGCAAGACGGAAAGACCCCGUGAACCUUUACUAUAGCUUGACACUGAACAUUGAGCCUUGAUGUGUAGGAUAGGUGGGAGGCUUUGAAGUGUGGACGCCAGUCUGCAUGGAGCCGACCUUGAAAUACCACCCUUUAAUGUUUGAUGUUCUAACGUUGACCCGUAAUCCGGGUUGCGGACAGUGUCUGGUGGGUAGUUUGACUGGGGCGGUCUCCUCCUAAAGAGUAACGGAGGAGCACGAAGGUUGGCUAAUCCUGGUCGGACAUCAGGAGGUUAGUGCAAUGGCAUAAGCCAGCUUGACUGCGAGCGUGACGGCGCGAGCAGGUGCGAAAGCAGGUCAUAGUGAUCCGGUGGUUCUGAAUGGAAGGGCCAUCGCUCAACGGAUAAAAGGUACUCCGGGGAUAACAGGCUGAUACCGCCCAAGAGUUCAUAUCGACGGCGGUGUUUGGCACCUCGAUGUCGGCUCAUCACAUCCUGGGGCUGAAGUAGGUCCCAAGGGUAUGGCUGUUCGCCAUUUAAAGUGGUACGCGAGCUGGGUUUAGAACGUCGUGAGACAGUUCGGUCCCUAUCUGCCGUGGGCGCUGGAGAACUGAGGGGGGCUGCUCCUAGUACGAGAGGACCGGAGUGGACGCAUCACUGGUGUUCGG